AAAACAAUCACAUUUUUUUCUGCCUAAAGAGAAGAUUUUUGUUAAAUCCUAUUGCAAAUGGUCCCUGAUCUCUGUUUAUAUUUCCAAAUCUUUCUUCCUUCCCAGCAGAGUGCGUUUAAGGGAGGAGCAGAAUCACUAUGGCAGCAGGCUGCUUCCCGGACGUGUCAGAGAAACCUGCCAAGUUUCUUGGGCUCAUUAGAACAGAGAAGAAAGAAUGACUUACAAAAGUCAACGUCUUUGUCCAGGACACAGCAGGAACAAGCAAAGUCAAGAAAUAGAAACUUUUUAAUUCAGAACAUAUGGAAUUUGUACAUUCAGCAGCUUCAGGGAAAGUAUACUCAGUAUAUUCCUUUGCAGAAGGCAGGGUCUGAAUUUGCCCAUGGUUUGGAAUGCUUCCAGAAAAUAAUGACUAAUGGAACUAUCAAGUGCUACUGCAAUGCAAGAAAUUAUUGAUCAGAUUACUGUUUUCCUCCCGAUCAAUUCUUGUAUAAGGGGAAAAUAUCCCAGCUUAUCCCCAAAUAUCAAGAUAUUUUCUUCUGAAAUAUGAAGAAACCAAAGCAUGAUGAAGCA